CUGCAGCAUUAUCUCCUAUGGAUUAGGAUAGCAGAAAGAUUGGUAAUUAUUCACUGGGGCUCAGACUUUUCCUUCACCCUUAUAGCUGUGCUUAUCCAACCAUCUAUAAAAUCAAAAUCUUACAUUGUCUUGCAAUGACAGAGAACAAAUUCAUUUCUGAAACUUUGUAUGACACCAUAUACACUAAAGCCUUACAAAUUAUUCUUUUUUUCCCUUUUUUUUCAGAUUAAAAUGUUCUUCAACAGCCUUUGUAUGCAUGUGAUGAUGGAAGCUUUAUCUUAUAAUGAUCUACUUGAUUUUUCUUUACCUAUGAGGAAGAGUGCAUGAAGGAAAAAAGCAGGAAUAAGAAGAUACCAAGAAACAAAGGAGAAAAUGAAAUGAAAAGUUCCUCCCUGCUAGCCAGAUUUCACAGUGCUGAAAGAUGCUAUCUAGAUUCCUGGGAAAGAAAAUGAAGAAAUGUUCUUAUCCAGACAAAUGCUACUCUCUGUCUUAAUCAGAGAACUCUCAAUUCCCAGUGAAUGGUGAUGAAUGCAGUGACACCUGACCGGUGAAGAUAAUGAGAAUAAG